GAUGAACGCUGGCGGCGUGCCUAAUACAUGCAAGUCGAACGAACAGACGAGGAUUUUGCUCCGCUCACGUUAGCCGCGGACGGGUGAGUCACAUGUGGAUAAUCUACCUAUCAGUCUGGGAACAUCACGGAACACCGGAGCUAAUCCGGGAUAAGCUAUUGCACCGCAUGGUUCAAUAGUGAAAGACGGCUUUGCUGUCACUUAUAGCUGGUUCCGGGCUGGAUUAGCUAGUUGGUAAGGUAACGGCCUACCACGGCAACGAUGCGUAACCGACCUGAGAGGGUGAUCGGCCACACUGGAACUGAGACACGGUCCAGGCUCCUACGGGAGGCAGCAGUAGGGAAUCUUCCGCAAUAGGCGAAAGCCUGACGGAGCAACGCCGCGUGAGUGAUGAAGGUCUUCGGAUCGUAAAACUCUGUUAUUAGGGAAGAACAAAUGUGUAAGUAACUAUGCACGUCUUGACGGUACCUAAUCAGAAAGCCACGGCUAACUACGUG
rnacentral:rRNA from 1 species